UCCUUUUGAACCCGGCUCUGAGACGCGUACACACCGCCCGUCACUCUCCCCUGUCAAAAUGUAAUAGCGCUACCUUAACACACUAAAACUAAGACAAGGGGAGGCAAGUCGUAACAUGGUAAGUGUACCGGAAGGUGCACUUGGAUAAAACUC
rnacentral:rRNA from 1 species